UACGUAGGUGACCAGCGUUGUCCGGAUUUACUGGGCGUAAAGAGCGCGCAGGCGGUCGUUCAAGUCGAGUGUGAAAGCCCCCGGCUCAACUGGGGAGGGUCAUUCGAUACUGAUCGACUCGAAGGCAGGAGAGGGAAGUGGAAUUCCCGGUGUAGUGGUGAAAUGCGUAGAUAUCGGGAGGAACACCAGUGGCGGAGGCGACUUCCUGGCCUGCUCUUGACGCUGAGGCGCGAAAGCUAGGGGAGCAAACGGG
rnacentral:rRNA from 1 species